rnacentral:rRNA from 1 species
UACGUAGGGUCCGAGCGUUGUCCGGAAUUAUUGGGCGUAAAGGGCGCGUAGGCGGCUUCGCAAGUGACGGGUGAAAUCCCUCGGCUUAACCGAGGAACUGCCUGUCAAACUGCGUGGCUUGAGACCAGGAGAGGUGAGUGGAAUUCCCAGUGUAGCGGUGAAAUGCGUAGAUAUUGGGAGGAACACCAGUGGCGAAGGCGGGUUGCUGGGCCGACACUGACGCUGAUGCGCGAAAGCCAGGGGAGCGAACGGG